rnacentral:rRNA from 1 species
GAUGAACGCUAGCGGCAGGCUUAACACAUGCAAGUCGAACGGUAACAGGUCCUUCGGGAUGCUGACGAGUGGCGCACGGGUGCGUAACGCGUAUGCAAUCUGCCUCUAUCUGGAAGAUAGCCCGGAGAAAUCCGGAUUAAUAUUCCAUAAUAUCAUUGAUUCGCAUGUUUCGAUGAUUAAAGCUCCGGCGGAUAGAGAUGAGCAUGCGUCCUAUUAGUUUGUUGGUGAGGUAACGGCUCACCAAGACUUCGAUAGGUAGGGGGCCUGAGAGGGUGAUCCCCCACACUGGUACUGAGACACGGACCAGACUCCUACGGGAGGCAGCAGUGAGGAAUAUUGGACAAUGGGCGAAAGCCUGAUCCAGCCAUGCCGCGUGCAGGAUGACAGCCCUACGGGUCGUAAACUGCUUUUAUACAGGAAUAAACCCCCUUACGUGUAAGGGGCUGAAUGUACUGUAAGAAUAAGGAUCGGCUAACUCCGUGCCAGCAGCCGCGGUAAUACGGAGGAUCCAAGCGUUAUCCGGAUUCAUUGGGUUUAAAGGGUCCGCAGGCGGAGCAUUAAGUCAGUGGUGAAAGGCCGUAGCUUAACUAUGGCACUGCCAUUGAUACUGGUGCUCUUGAGUAUAGUUGAGGUGGGCGGAAUAAGUCAUGUAGCGGUGAAAUGCAUAGAUAUGACUUAGAACACCGAUUGCGAAGGCAGCUCACUAAACUAAUACUGACGCUCAGGGACGAAAGCGUGGGGAGCGAACAGGAUUAGAUACCCUGGUAGUCCACGCUGUAAACUAUGAUCACUCGCUGUUGGCGAUAUACU